GUUGUCUUGUUUUGGGUGUUCUCAGUGGCUCUGUUGUCUUUGCCUCCUGAUCUUUGGCAGCAAAAAUGGGUAAACUGCAUUUUCUCCCCCCCCCCCCUUUUUUUUUUUUUUGGUCUUUUUUUGUCUUUUCUAGGGCCACUCCUGUGGCAUAUGGAGGUUCCCAGACUAGGGGUCGAAUAGGAGCCAUAGCCACUGGCCUAUACCACAGCUCACAGCAAUUCCAGAUCCUUAGCCCACUGAGCAAGGCCAGGGAUCGAACCUGCAUCCUCAUGGAUGCUAGUCAGAUUUCUUCCCACUGAGCCAGCCCAGGAGCUCCUAAACUGCAUUUCUUGCAACUUUCUUCAGGGCCUCGUGUCCUGGUGUAACUAGUGGACUCUCUGUCCGUUCCCCAAAGUAUCCCAGUUUGGAUGCUGAAUCUAGGGGGUGCUCUGCUCACUUGGCUCUGCUUCCUCUGGGUGGAGGUGGGUGCCUGUGCUCACAGUUAGGUCUUUGCACACACGUUCUCCUUGGGGGUCUCGUCCUGGACCAGCACGUACAUUCUGCAGGGACGGCGCGAGCCUUUAUUUCUGGACGCGGCUCGCUGACAGGUGGCUCAUGGUUAAAGGCAAGGUGUGGGGUCAGGUUGCCUUGACUCAGGCCCCGCAGCUUCCUUGGGUGUGAGAUGGGGGGAAGAGGGGGCGCAGAGGGCCUGGAGCAGCGGACGCCUCCUAAGCCGUGAGUGUUGGCUGUGGUGACAGCGGGGGUAGGACAGCUGUGACUAAGAGAGGAAACUGACGGGCCCUUCAGAUGACUUCUCUGUGUGCCCAGUCAGAUGGCGUGUGUGUCCCCAGAGCCACCCUUGAUGCUUUCCUGACAGCUGGGGAGCAGCAGCCUCUGUCACUCAGAAGCCUGGUCACACGCCCUGGGUGCUGAUGGUGCCGAAUCGUGUGCAGUGGCCGUCCCGUGGCUGGGUAUCCUCGCAGUGGCCGACGGUCCUCUGCUGAUUUCCCGUGGCAGGUGACAGGCCCUGGGCGCUGGCACUGGCAGAGGGCGCCCGCGUGAGGAGUGGGGCUGGGAUUCUGCUGCAGGACGGUUUUCUCCAGGGCCCGAGAGCUCUUGGCCGGUCUUGGAGGUGAGUUCCAGCACCGUCCGGCCCACUCGGCAUUGGGGGGAGAAGCCCGUGCGUGGCCUCUGGCGGGUCUGCAGCGGCAGCCGAUGCCAGUUGUGGUAGAAGAGAAGGGGUCUUGGUUCUGCUGGGCAGAGGGGCCCGUGCUGCCCGCUCGGGGUCGGGAGGCGGGCCCUGCCCGCCGAGGAGCCUCCGUGUUUGGCGGGUUUGGGCAGAGCGUGCUUCCAGCGGCCAGGACGCAGUGAGGUCUUGGCGAGGGCACGGCCUCAGACUGACUUGGACGUGGGCUCGCGUUUCUCUUGACCGACUUCCAUCCACGCGGCCCAGAAAAGACAGGCGACCUUGGAAUCGCUCGUGAUUUAUUUACAAGCGUAUGAAGACGGCCAGACGGCUGCUACCCAGGCCUCAUUUCUCCUUUUGGAAUCGAAAUGCAGAAACUAUGACACAGCCCGUUUUCUCUGCGAGUGGAAGCGCUUCCACAGAAACUCUUUUGGGGAAAAGAAGGGCAAGGAACCAACCUCCAAACCACAGAAGACGGAUUAGCCGGCGUUUACACUCCCUCUGCCCACAGAUCUUUCAGCGAGGCGUCUGCCAGGGGCUCUCUGCCCCACCUCAUGCUUCAGGGCAGCUCCUCAACGCCCCACCUCCUUGAAAUCCUGGCCCCCGCAGGUGGGAUCCUUCUCUGAAGCUGCGGGGGCCUGUUCCUGGGAACUGCUGUGCACAUGGCCGCUCUGCGUGGGGUUUAUAGCCGCAGCCUGCUGUGACCAGCCUGUGCGGGGUCGCAUGCUUUGCCCUUACCCUCCGAGUCAGGGGCCCUGGAGUCCCUCUGCCUGACCUCGAAUGCUCUAGUCCUGCCUGGUUUCAGCACUGGCCCUGUGCUUGGGCCUGAGUAGGUGCUGGGGUUUAUGUCCCUGACUCUCAGGCAUUGGUCCUUCAGUGACUCAGUGGGUGUGUCUGAUGUGAUUUAAAAUUUUUUAAAUGGAAAGGAUGUAUGUAUUUUCCUUUUAUUGUAGAUGAUGAAACUGAGAUUCGUAGACACAGUGUCUUGUUCUGGGCCACGCGGUGAUAAAGACAUAGAACCAGGGCUUGAACUUGAGCCUCCUGGUUCCCAGGCUGUGUUCUUUCUUUUUAGGGCCACACCCGUAGCAUGUGGAAGUUCCUAGGCUAGGGGCUGAAUCAGAGCUGCGACUGCCGGUCUACACCGCAGCCACAUCAACGCCAUAUCCGAGCCACGUCUAUGACUUACACCAAAGCUCACAGCAAUGCCAGAUCCUUAACCCACUGAGCCAGGCUAGGGAUUGAACCUGCAUCCUCAUGGUUACUGGUUGGGUUCAUUACUGCUGAGCCACAACGGGAGCUCCCCAGGCUGGGUUCUUUCCACUGACUGUGUCGAGCUGUUAGGUCGUUUUGGUGAGAAUGCAGUGUAAGGUAUAGGGGUUCCCUGACCUCACUCAUCUUCUGUCAGGAGUGAUCAAGCCCCUGCCCUGGGCAGGAUGCAGGCAGGCAUGAGCAGGCAAAACCUCUGCCCUUCCUUUUCGUCAAAAAUAAUGUCUGGAAAGUGCUACGUAGUAGCAUUACUUUACAAAAAA
rnacentral:lncRNA from 1 species